GGAAGUCGUGCGUUGCCGUCACACCUUCUUCACCGCCGUCGUCCAGGGAGCUGCCGCAUCUUAGAGCUGCGAGGAAGCUUGUAGCCGUCGAUCCGCCAUUGAGCCGCCACUGGGAGACAAGCUUGCAAAGAGAGAGAGAGAGAGAACGCAAAAAGAGAGAGAAGAGCUCGUCACUGCCACUGCAUGCGUCGCCGUCAUUCGUGUGCUCUCCCGCUGCUGUUAGGGACGCGGUUGCCGAGCCUGUGGCUGCCGAAUAACAGUGUUGUCGGUGCCGAAGGUUGCCGGAGGUUGCUGUCGGAGAUGCAUGUCCAUUUCGUCGUUCUUAUUCAUGACUGGUUAAUUUACUGAGCUUGCAUACGGUGGAAGUUGUCGGAGCUGCUGUGGGCCGGUAAAAAGGUGUUUUGUAUGUUUCAUAGCUUUCGGGUUUCAACAAUAGAGUGUUUGGAGAAGUUAG